rnacentral:lncRNA from 1 species
AACGACCUUCCUACUUUUGUUGUUUAUGUGUUUUGUUUUGGCACUCAACUUACCUCAGGCUCAGCUACUACUUCCACUCUCUUCCUAACGGUAACACCAUCCAUCCCCUACCUCCUACCAUAACACCAUAAGGUUUCUUUUUCUUUUUCCUAUGUUUCAGGUUUCAUUUCUAUUAUAAGUUUGAUUUCUCUUCAGUUAUAUUUUCAUUUUUUAGUCGUGUUUGUAAGCAUGAUUCAUCUUCCUUUUAGUUUUCAAGCAUCUAUUUGAAUAUUCCCCAUAUGGAUAGCGUGAAUCCAUAUGAUGAUCUUAUUACAUGGAAGACUUUUAUAUAUAUUUAUUUAUGUGUUAAACCAAUUACUUAAUAAUAACUACUUUUAGAAGAGACCAUAUCCUAACUCAGUAGAUUAGACAAGUUUUGAAUCCAGGUUUGGUGUGACCAGUUAGUCUCAUAUAAGAUAUAGUUGAGCUAAAUUAAAGAUGUUUUAAGUCAUCUAUAUACUAAAUGUUUUCAGUGAAGAUGUGGUGUCCCGGUCUCUUGGUGGUCAUAUGGUCAUUAGUCAAUAUACGAUGUUGAUGAAUUGAUGUUAGAUUACUCUAAUCAAGCAACAAUACACCCAACUUGAUAUUAAUUAGCAAAAUUGCAACAUGGUUCUUUAACUUAAUUUUUUGUUCAAUAUAAUCUUUUAUAUUUUAUCCGUUUUAAGUUAGUCUUUUUUAGUAUCAAGUUAGUCUUUUAUGUUUAAAAGCUUCAACGAAGUUGGACAAAACCUCAUUGCUACUUUUUAUGUAAAUUUGGGAGUUUGGAACUAUAUUUGCCUCUACUUACGUUCUUCUUACCCUGCCUGGCAGAUUUUCCCUAUGGCGAACAAGUAUCUGUGGGUGACUUGCUGUUUGUGGGCUUUAACAUGCUCACUUCUUCCUUCGUUCUCCUAUGGAUUUAUGAGAAUUGAUUUGAAGAAGAGAACUCUAGAUCUUGAUAGCAUUAGAGCUGCUAGGAUGGUAAGAGAAAAGCUAAAGUCAAGCGGACCUGUGUUGGGUGCAUAUGAUCAGUAUACCGGUAAAUCAACCGACGAUGCCAUAGUACCUUUGAAGGAUUAUUUGAAUGCACAAUAUUAUGGAGAGAUUGGAAUUGGCACACCCCCACAGACAUUUAAUGUCAUAUUUGAUACCGGAAGUUCGAACCUUUGGGUUCCAUCGUCAAAGU